CGGCGCCAUUAAAGUGCGAGAAAGGAGGGAAACGUCAAGCGCCCGCGCAUCGCCGCCAGGCAGGCAGCCAGCCAGCUGCCGGCGGAGCCUCGGGUCCCGCCAUCGCCGGCCAGCCUCCCACCGCCGGAGCUCGCCUUUCCUUUCGCGUUCCCCUUUUCUCCCCCGAACCGAUCGAGUCCACAGGCGGCGACCAUGUCGGAGCAGCAGUUCGCCGGGGACGCGGCGGCGGAGGAGGAGGCCUCGGAGCAAACUGAGCAGCUUGAAGGAGCGGCGGGCGGGGGCGGCAACAACAGCAGCAGUAGCGCAGACGGAGGAGGCGGCGGCGGCGGCGGCACGGCCGAAUCGGAGGGAGCCAAAAUCGACGCGAGCAAGAAUGAGGAGGAUGAAGGGAAAAUGUUCAUUGGAGGCCUUAGCUGGGAUACUACAAAGAAAGAUCUGAAGGACUACUUCACAAAAUUUGGUGAAGUUGUAGACUGCACCCUGAAGUUGGACCCCAUCACAGGACGAUCAAGAGGAUUUGGCUUCGUGUUGUUCAAGGAAUCUGAGAGUGUGGACAAGGUCAUGGAUCAGAAAGAGCACAAACUAAAUGGCAAAGUGAUUGACCCGAAAAGAGCUAAAGCAAUGAAAACAAAAGAGCCUGUCAAAAAGAUUUUUGUUGGUGGCUUAUCUCCAGAUACACCUGAAGAGAAAAUAAGGGAAUACUUCGGAGGUUUUGGUGAGGUGGAGUCAAUAGAGCUUCCCAUGGACAACAAAACUAACAAACGCCGUGGAUUUUGCUUCAUUACUUUCAAAGAUGAAGAACCAGUGAAAAAAAUCAUGGAGAAAAAAUACCACAAUGUUGGUCUUAGUAAAUGUGAAAUAAAAGUAGCAAUGUCAAAAGAACAGUAUCAGCAGCAACAGCAGUGGGGUACUCGAGGGGGAUUUGCUGGAAGAGCUCGUGGCAGAGGUGGAGGCCCCAGUCAAAGCUGGAACCAGGGAUAUAAUAACUAUUGGAAUCAGGGAUAUGGCAACUAUGGAUAUAACAGUCCAGGAUAUGGUGGCUAUGGAGGUUAUGACUACACUGGCUACAACAACUAUUAUGGAUAUGGGGACUAUAGUAAUCAGCAGAGUGGUUAUGGGAAGGUAUCUCGGCGAGGAGGUCAUCAAAAUAGCUACAAACCGUACUAAAUUAUUCCAUUUGCAACCUAUCCCAGACAGCGGGAACUUCCUUGCAGGCCCUGUGUCGCGCUGACUUCCCGAUUCUCACAGGCCCGCUCAAUGCGGACAGGGUACGAGAUGCUCACGCUCUCGAAUGCUGCCGUUUGGUGGACAAGCAGUAUUCUCAUUUGAAGAUUCAUUUUGAGGUGGCUCAUGCUACCUGCUAAUAGCAGUUCAAACUAAAUUUUUUGUAUCAAGUUCCUGAAUUGGAAGUAAGAUGUUGGUCCCUCUGAAGUUUGAUUGCGUUCUCAUUACAACAGAAUUGCUUUCACUGUCUUAUUUUUUUAAUUGCUAUGCUUAAAAAUCGAUUUGAUUUAUGCCCCACGCCCAUUUUGUUCCCCAGUAUUGUAGAGCAAGUCUUGUGUUUAAAGCCCAGUGUGACCGUGUCAUGAUGUAGUAGUGUCUUACUGGUUUUUUAAUAAAUCUUUUUGUACAAAUGUGA